rnacentral:rRNA from 1 species
AUGAAGUCCUUGACCUGGCUGUGCCCGUCGAAGUGGUGCUUCCCGGAUCCGGGGCCGGGGGCCGGCGCCGGAGCAAUGGAAGGGCCGGGGGCCAUGGCGUCCCAGACCGGCAGCACGGGCGGCGCGCCGAGGGGCACGGGCGGCGCGGGCUUCUUCAGCCUGUGCGUCCUGGGGUCCACCUCGGGGGCGCCCGUGGGGAGCACGGCCGAGAUGGCAGCCAGGCUGCGGCGGCGGUUGAAAUCCUCCUGAACUGAGCGCGGCACCAGCAGCCGCUCGAUACCGUGGAUGACCCCGUCGGGCCUCACCACCGCGUCCGGCCGCGUGACCUCCGCGGUGCCGACUAGCAUCUUCUGGCCGUCGGCUGACAGCUGGAGGUGCUCGCCGGAGAGCGUCAUCCGCGCGGUGGAGGCGGGCCAGGCGGAGUGCGAGUGCAGGCGGGAGGGGAGGACGUGGAAGAGGAGCAGGCGCUGGAGGGAGCGCAGGUUGCGGGGCUCAAGGAGGAAGGCGCGGAACUCCGGGUCGAGGUCCCGCUCGAGGGCCUCGUUCCGGGGCGCGAAGAUGGUGACGUUGCCCCGCCCCACGGCGUCCUCCAGGGACUGCAGCAGCAGCGCCUUCUCCACCAGCUCCGCCAGCUCCGUGUAG